rnacentral:lncRNA from 10 species
CCCGCCCUCAGCAAGACUCCGCCCCACUCACCGGUGCUCAUCUCGCCCAGCCAGCAAGAGAGCGCGCCAAAGCGCACCGUGUGGAAGAGCACCGACUUCCCCGGCCGCCCGGGGCUCACGCCGAUGCACACAGCGGGCAGCUCAGAGCCUGGCCCGGUGGAUGCAGUUCAAGCCCCUCCUCUGGCCUGGCCCCGCCCACUCUCUGCACACCCGUGAAGCUCUCUCUCACCCACACAGCACGCCCGGCAGCCUUUGGUGUCCUGGAUCUUGGUGGAAACCAUGUUCUUCCUGGAGAAUAGGAUCUCCUUGACCCUCCAGAAUGCCCACCCUUGGUGGAGGGAUGUGUCCAGGCGGCCGUGCUGUGGAUCCGGAGGGGGCAGCCAUUGAACAACUUUACGAGAAGGGCACAUCCCUGGGCAGGUCGCCGCGGGGCCAGGCAGCAGAUCCGGCAAAGAGAGCAGGGAACAGGAAGGGGCAGUGGUUACGACUUUGGAGCGAGAGUGCCAAGGUUCAAAUCCUGCCUCUUACCUUGGUGCAAUUUCCCAUAAUCUAUCCCUGUAAUACACUUUUUCAUACAUUGAGUUUUCUUUUCAGUUUGUUUUUGUUUUUUUUUGUUGUUGUUAUAUAUUUCUUUUUUUAGUUUUUCCUCCACUAUCCUAAAUCAUCAGCAUUUGUUUUUUUUAAGACAGAGUCUCACUCGGUUGCCCAGGCUGGAAUGCAAUGACAUGAUCUCAGCUCACUACAACCUCUGCUUCCCAAGUUCAACUGAUUCUCAUGCCUAAGCCUUCUGAGUAGCUGGGACCAAAGGCGUGUGCCACCACACCCAGCUAAUUUUUGUAUUUUUAGUAGAGAUGGAGUUUUGCCAUGUUGCCCAGGCUGGUCUUGAACUCUUGGCCUCAUGUGAUUCAC